GGCUCGGUAGUAGAGGGUCUAUAUCUGCUUUCAAUUCAUAUCCGAUGUCAUGAGCAGCAGAGACAGUCUGUUCGACUCAGGCCUGAGUCA